rnacentral:lncRNA from 1 species
UGUGGUGCAUUGAAUUAUUGUUCGGAUUAAAUGUCCCUCCUACCUACAUAUAGAAUUAAAUACUUCCUGGUUACACCGAAAGCAGCUCUAGUAUAUCAUAACCAGUGCAGUUCGAAUGAUAGACAACAAUGAAGCCUCACGUACUUCUUGUAUCUAGUCUUAUUUUCAUAGUGAUUUUUCAAAAUGUUUCUUCAUGGAGUGGGUAAGUGAUAAUAUAUAAUAGA